AUACGGAGGGCGCGAACGUUGCUCGGAAUCAUUGGGCGUAAAGCGCACGUAGGCGGCCUGAUAAGUCGGAUGUGAAAGCCCACGGCUCAACCGUGGAUGUGCAUUCGAAACUGUCAGGCUUGAGUAUGGGAGAGGGUUGCGGAAUUCCCGGUGUAGAGGUGAAAUUCGUAGAUAUCGGGAGGAACACCAGCGGCGAAGGCGGCAGCCUGGACCAAUACUGACGCUGAGGUGCGAAAGCGUGGGGAGCAAACAGGAUUAGAAACCCUAGUAGUCC
rnacentral:rRNA from 1 species